GAUUGAACGCUGGCGGCAGGCCUAACACAUGCAAGUCGAACGGUAACAGGAAGAAGCUUGCUUCUUUGCUGACGAGUGGCGGACGGGUGAGUAAUGUCUGGGAAACUGCCUGAUGGAGGGGGAUAACUACUGGAAACGGUAGCUAAUACCGCAUAACGUCGCAAAACCAAAGAGGGGGACCUUCGGGCCUCUUGCCAUCGGAUGUGCCCAGAUGGGAUUAGCUAGUAGGUGGGGUAACGGCUCACCUAGGCGACGAUCCCUAGCUGGUCUGAGAGGAUGACCAGCCACACUGGAACUGAGACACGGUCCAGACUCCUACGGGAGGCAGCAGUGGGGAAUAUUGCACAAAGGGCGCAAGCCUGAUGCAGCCAUGCCGCGUGUAUGAAGAAGGCCUUCGGGUUGUAAAGUACUUUCAGCGGGGAGGAAGGGAGUAAAGUUAAUACCUUUGCUCAUUGACGUUACCCGCAGAAGAAGCACCGGCUAACUCCGUG
rnacentral:rRNA from 1 species